GCCCGGGCUUCGGCCUGGUUAUUCAUAACCCUUUGUUGUCCGACUCUGUUGCCUCCGGGGCGACCCUGCCUUCGGGCGGGGGCUCCGGGUGGACACUUCAAACUCUUGCGUAACUUUGCAGUCUGAGUAAACUUAAUUAAUAAAUUAAAACUUUUAACAACGGAUCUCUUGGUUCUGGCAUCGAUGAAGAACGCAGCGAAAUGCGAUAAGUAAUGUGAAUUGCAGAAUUCAGUGAAUCAUCGAAUCUUUGAACGCACAUUGCGCCCCCUGGUAUUCCGGGGGGCAUGCCUGUUCGAGCGUCAUUUCACCACUCAAGCCUCGCUUGGUAUUGGGCAACGCGGUCCGCCGCGUGCCUCAAAUCGUCCGGCUGGGUCUUCUGUCCCCUAAGCGUUGUGGAAACUAUUCGCUAAAGGGUGUUCGGGAGGCUACGCCGUAAAACAACCCCAUUUCUAAGGUUGACCUCGGAUCAGGUAGGGAUACCCGCUGAACUUAAGCAUAUCAAUAAGCGGAGGA
rnacentral:rRNA from 1 species